UACGUAGGGUGCGAGCGUUGUCCGGAAUUAUUGGGCGUAAAGGGCUCGUAGGCGGCCAACUAAGUCAGGCGUGAAAUCCCCAGGCUCAACCUGGGAACUGCGUCUGAUACUGGAUGGCUUGAAUCCGGGAGAGGGAUGCAGAAUUCCAGGUGUAGCGGUGAAAUGCGUAGAUAUCUGGAGGAAUACCGGUGGCGAAGGCGGCAUCCUGGACCGGCAUUGACGCUGAGGAGCGAAAGCCAGGGGAGCAAACGGG
rnacentral:rRNA from 1 species